rnacentral:rRNA from 1 species
GUCAGCUAGCCGUUGGAAUCCUUGAGAUUUUAGUGGCGCAGCUAACGCAUUAAGUUGACCGCCUGGGGAGUACGGCCGCAAGGUUAAAACUCAAAUGAAUUGACGGGGGCCCGCACAACCGUGGAGCAUGUGGUUUAAUUCGAAGCAACGCGAAAAACCUUACCUGGCCUUGACAUGCUGAGAACUUUCCAGAGAUGGAUUGGUGCCUUCGGGAACUCAGACACAGGUGCUGCAUGGCUGCGUCAGCUCGUGUCGUGAGAUGUUGGGUUAAGUCCCGUAACGAGCGCAACCCUUGUCCUUAGUUACCAGCACCUCGGGUGGGAACUCUAAGGAGACUGCCGGUGACAAACCGGAGGAAGGGGGGAUGACGUCAAGUCAUCAUGGCCCUUACGGCCAGGGCUACACACGUGCUACAAUGGUCGGUACAAAGGGUUGCCAAGCCGCGAGGUGGAGCUAAUCCCAUAAAACCGAUCGUAGUCCGAUCGCAGUCUGCAACUCGACUGCGUGAAGUCGGAAUCGCUAGUAAUCGUGAAUCAGAAUGUCACGGUGAAUACGUUCCCGGGCCUUGUACACACCGCCCGUCACACCAUGGGAGUGGGUUGCACCAGAAGUAGCUAGUCUAACCUUCGGGAGGACGGUUACCACGGUGUGAUUCAUGACUGGGGUGAAGUCGUAACGAGGUAACCGAGGGUUGCCCC